AAGUCGUAACAAGGUUUCCGUAGGUGAACCUGCGGAAGGAUCAUUAACACGUAUCCACGUAACACCAACCGUGAACCCAUUUCACCAGCUCCCUUUGCAAAGAAUGAAUGGAAUGAGUAGAGUUGAUAAUUGUGGGGUGCAUUGCGCGCCGGACUCUAUGAUACUACUUAUUCGAGGCUGAAAGGCUUCGAAUAGACAUUGGAUCUUUGUUAAGGUUAAUCUCAUCGAUACAUCUCCCAAUUAUUGAUCUGUCGAUGGGAACCAUAUUCACCUAUUUCACCCCCUUUUUGCUAGUUGACUUUUCUAUGUGUUACUAGUACUUCGGUACUGUUCACACGUUUAUUAAUUGAACGUUAAAAAAUACAACUCUUAGCAAUGGAUAUCUUGGUUCUC
rnacentral:misc_RNA from 1 species